rnacentral:rRNA from 1 species
CACGUAGGGUGCAAGCGUUGUCCGGAAUUAUUGGGCGUAAAGGGCUCGUAGGCGGUCCGUCACGUCGGGAGUGAAAACUCGGGCUCAACCCCGAGCCUGCUUCCGAUACGGGCGGACUAGAGGUAGGUGAGGGGGAGAACGGAAUUCCUGGGUGUAGCGGUGGAAUGCGCAGAUAUCAGGAGGAACACCGGUGGCGAAGGCGGUUCUCUGGGCCUUACCUGACGCUGAGGAGCGAAAGCGUGGGGGAGCGAAACAGG